AUUUCCAUAACCAAGAAAACAAAGAAUCUCUGCCCCAAAAAAAAAGCCAAUCUAGCCAUCAAAUGCUAAGGCAUCACGAUCAAAUCUAGCAAUAAUUUCAUGCUAGAAAUUAAUAAAAACCAUAAAAAUAUCAUCCAAAUCCUCUAACUAGCUAUUCCACUUCCAAGCAAAAUAGUAUAUGAUAUAACUAAUCAUUAACUCCAAUUGCUUGUCUACAUCU
rnacentral:lncRNA from 1 species